rnacentral:rRNA from 1 species
AGUGAACGCUGGCGGUAGGCCUAACACAUGCAAGUCGAACGGCAGCACAGUAAGAGCUUGCUCUUACGGGUGGCGAGUGGCGGACGGGUGAGGAAUACAUCGGAAUCUACUUUUUCGUGGGGGAUAACGUAGGGAAACUUACGCUAAUACCGCAUACGACCUACGGGUGAAAGCAGGGGAUCUUCGGACCUUGCGCGAUUGAAUGAGCCGAGGUCGGAUUAGCUAGUUGGCGGGGUAAAGGCCCACCAAGGCGACGAUCCGUAGCUGGUCUGAGAGGAUGAUCAGCCACACUGGAACUGAGACACGGUCCAGACUCCUACGGGAGGCAGCAGUGGGGAAUAUUGGACAAUGGGCGCAAGCCUGAUCCAGCCAUACCGCGUGGGUGAAGAAGGCCUUCGGGUUGUAAAGCCCUUUUGUUGGGAAAGAAAAGCAGCAGGUUAAUACCCCGCUGUUCUGGCGGUACCCAAAGAAUAAGCACCGGCUAACUUCGUG